AUUAGUUAGCUCUCAAUUACUUCAGAAAAAUUCUUUUGCAUUUGAUUUCUUCUUCACAGUUGAAUGGCCGUAUUACAGGGUUUCUGGAUUCUUUCUCUUUCUCUGCCGUAGCGACGUUGGUGUGGGCAUAAGUUACACCACCAACCGUCUCGCAAAAUCCAUAAAGCAUAUACAGAGAAGAAUGAGAGGGUUUUCUGGUGGCCAACUUCAUCUUGCACAUGAUGAGCCACCUUCCCGUUCAAGGUGACAGUGGGAACAGUGAAAAUGGGGAAUGCAAAACACCAUUAAGGAGUAGAGGAAUGAAAAAAACAUCCAUACUUGGGUUUUGUUGGCGUGAUAAUGCUAACAUUUAUAGUCAGGUAAUCAUCCAUUUCAUUUUAUGAUGAUUAAGUUGAGAAAUUUAGAAAGAAACAUAUUGGUUUUGGUGGACUUGAUACGCCGGUGGAAUUCUUCUUUAUUUUACAGGUGAGAUUAGUCUUCCUUCUCAAAUACAAUUUUUCACAAGUAUUGCAGUUCAAUAGUGGAUUUUACUAAUGGUGAUAACGUCUAUAACUAUCAUUUCCUGCUUCGACUUAAUUUUGUUGUACUAAUUGUCAUUUGCUGACCAAAAUCAUUCAUAAAAAUGCUUUCUUCGGCAACUUCUCCCACAUUUCUAUGAAUUGUUGCAAAAUUCAGUUACUAUUAUAUUUCAGAGAACAAGUUAUUUGUCUGAAAACUACUCACUUUUGACAAAUUUAUUGUUUUGUACCGCUGAAACCAUUACAAACUUCGGACACCAAUAAACUGAUAACACGUGCAGAUUUUGUUUGUGAGGUCUCCCAGGCUCCAUUGGAGAUUCGGGUUGUAUAUCGUGUUGUUGUACAAAGAAGGGUAACUUUCAGUCUGAAGUUCUCUUUGGUCCCUCUUAACAUCCUUUAUUUCCCAGGAUUUUGUUCAUAUGGUUAGUUGUUGUAAAUGUAACUGAGUUUCACAAAUCAAUUAUUCAAUUACGUACUUGCAGAAUCACAUACUUUGGGUGUACUCUUCAAUGUACUCAAGCCAGCACAGAAAUUCUUCAAAAAUAAUAUCCACAAAAUGCACACCGAACUACUUACUGUGCCCGAAGGAACUUAUGUAGGUUCGCGUCAUUGAAAAUAUACUUAAAUGAUGCUUCAAGAAGGGCACUCCUAGCAGAACUUAAAAUGUACCACACCUUGGGAAGUUUUUAGUCGAAAAUUGCACUCAUUGAAGACGACGUGACGAAAUAAUCAAGAAGAUGCCAUUAAAAGAAUUGCUUAUUGAAUCUUCCCUAAAUAUAUGGUUGAUUUUAGAAUCAUUGAAAUUCUUCAUACAUUUAACUUUUCUACUGUUUCAAAUUUUACUGUUUAGUACUUAAUCUCUUGCUUUCCCUUAAUUUUGUUGUUGUUGAGUUGAAGUGAUUUUUAUUUGACCUUUUUUUUUUUCCAUUUUUCUCUGUUGUCGUAUUCUCUUUUAGUUUAUAAUUUGAUGUAUUAAUGCUCUAUUAUAUUUGAAGAAAGCAGUAAGGAAAAACAUGUUGCCCAAAGGAAAAAACUUUAACUUUCUUAGUUUUCAAUGAAACGUAGUGUAAUUUUGAUGGUACAGUGCGCUUUGGGCUAAUGACCUUUUGGACUGCUUCCUAUAGUAUUUAAAAUUUUUGUUCAUCGCAGGUUGAAAUGGAGGUCAUCGUUAGUACCGGAUCAGGCAUAUUUAAAGAAAACGAUUUUCCAGUAAGCAAAAUGAGAUACAUAUUCUUGGAAUUACUGUGAUGAGCCAUACUUACUAAUCGUCCUAUCACAUAACACCUCAAUGUUGCUAAUUUGGCAUUGCCGCUUCAUUGGUGUAUUCUGGAUGUGGUACGACGAACUCAUGAUCAGAUAAAUGGCAUGUGAUAACCGAGCCUUCUCUCACGUCGGCUCUGUCUCUCCCUUUUGCCUGUUUCGUUUGAUGUUGGUCUUUUUCAUGCCACUCAUCGUAUCCCUAUUUUUAAAGCGUCGAGGCAAGUUCUUACAGCUCCUUACAUUGAAACUAGAAAGUUUAAAGCAAGUGAGGCUCUUGGUAAAUAGUGAGAUAUAUUGCGAAGACAUUUGCUUUUCUUUAUUGAUACUAGAUUUUGUGCCCGUGCUACGCACCGGAUGGACCCGAAAACCAUCAUUUUUCUUUA